UACNGGAGGCAGCAGGUGAGGAAUAUUGNUCAAUGGCCGAGAGGCUGAACCAGCCAUGCCNCGUGCNGGAGGACNGCCCUAUGGGUUGUAAACCGCUUUUGUUGGGGAGCAAUAAGGAGCACGAGUGCUUCGAUGAGAGUACCCAGCGAAUAAGCAUCGGCUAACUCCGUGCCAGCAGCCGCGGUAAU
rnacentral:rRNA from 1 species